rnacentral:rRNA from 1 species
UGAGGAAUAUUGGACAAUGGGCGCAAGCCUGAUCCAGCCAUGCCGCGUGCAGGAUGACGGUCCUAUGGAUUGUAAACUGCUUUUGUACAGGAAGAAACAGUUCUACGUGUAGAACCUUGACGGUACUGUAAGAAUAAGGAUCGGCUAACUCCGUGCCAGCAGCCGCGGUAAUACGGAGGAUCCAAGCGUUAUCCGGAAUCAUUGGGUUUAAAGGGUCCGUAGGCGGUUAGAUAAGUCAGUGGUGAAAGCCCAUCGCUCAACGGUGGAGCGGCCAUUGAUACUGUCUGACUUGAAUUAUUAGGAAGUAACUAGAAUACGUAGUGUAGCGGUGAAAUGCUUAGAGAUUACAUGGAAUACCAAUUGCGAAGGCAGGUUACUACUAAUGGAUUGACGCUGAUGGACGAAAGCGUGGGUAGCGAACAGGAUUAGAUACCCAAGUAGUCCCUGAGCGGGCUGGCAAGGCGCAU